UACAGAGGGGGCGAGCGUUGUUCGGAAUUACUGGGCGUAAAGGGCGCGUAGGCGGCCUGCUAAGUCAUACGUGAAAUCCCUCGGCUCAACCGGGGAACUGCGUGUGAUACUGGCGGGCUUGGAAUUCGGGAGAGGGAUGCGGAAUUCCAGGUGUAGCGGUGAAAUGACGUAGAUAUCUGGAGGAACACCGGGUGGCGAAGGCGGCAUCCUGGACCGAUAUUGACGCUGAUGCGCGAAA
rnacentral:rRNA from 1 species